rnacentral:rRNA from 1 species
ACGCUGCCUUGAUGCCCGACGCCGCGUGAGGGAUGAAAGGCCUUCGGGUUGUAAACCUCUUUCAGCAGGGAAGAAGCGCAAGUGACGGUACCUGCAGAAGAAGCGCCGGCUAACUACGUGCCAGCAGCCGCGGUAAUACGUAGGGCGCAAGCGUUGUCCGGAAUUAUUGGGCGUAAAGAGCUCGUAGGCGGUUUGUCGCGUCUGCUGUGAAAACUCGAGGCUCAACCUCGGGCUUGCAGUGGGUACGGGCAGACUAGAGUGCGGUAGGGGAGACUGGAAUUCCUGGUGUAGCGGUGGAAUGCGCAGAUAUCAGGAGGAACACCGAUGGCGAAGGCAGGUCUCUGGGCCGCAACUGACGCUGAGGAGCGAAAGCAUGGGGAGCGAACAGGAUUAGAUACCCUGGUAGUCCAUGCCGUAAACGUUGGGCACUAGGUGUGGGGCUCAUUCCACGAGUUCCGUGCCGCAGCAAACGCAUUAAGUGCCCCGCCUGGGGAGUACGGCCGCAAGGCUAAAACUCAAAGAAAUUGACGGGGGCCCGCACAAGCGGCGGAGCAUGCGGAUUAAUUCGAUGCAACGCGAAGAACCUUACCAAGGCUUGACAUACACCGGAAACUUCCAGAGAUGGUUGCCCCGCAAGGUCGGUGUACAGGUGGGUGCAUGGGUUGUCGUCAGCUCGUGUCGUGAGAUGUUGGGUUAAGUCCCGCAACGAGCGCAACCCCUCGUCCUAUGUUGCCAGCGGGGUCAUGCCGGGGGACUCAUAUGGAGACUGCCGGGGGCAACUCGGAGGAAGGUGGGGGAUGACGUCAAAUCAUCAUGCCCCUUUAUGUCUUUGGGGUUUCACGCAUGCUACAAUGGCCGGGAACAAAGGGCU